AUGUGUAUUCCAAAGGGCAAAGGAGGCAUGGGAUUUGGAGAUAUUCACUAUUUUAACUUGGCACUUCUUGCAAAAUAAGCUUGGCGGCUCAUUGAUAUUCCUGAAUCCCUUUGUGCAACAAUUCUCAAAGAAAAAUACUAUUCCGAUGAUGACCUCAUGAAUGUGGGGUUGAAGAAGAAGGCCUCCUAUACUUGUCAAAGUAUAAUGGUAGGAGUGGUACAUUGA
rnacentral:rRNA from 1 species